AAGGUUACAAAUACGUUGGCCUACAAGUAAGUUUAGAUAUAUACUUAACAAAAAUAGCAUGACCAAUAUACAUGUAUAGUUAUUUGCAGUAUUCAAGUUUGGUAAUACUUUUUGUCAUAUUGAUGUAGCGAGCUUGUCUAGCAUGGUCGUUGGUUUGGUCCCAUGUCAAACUUAUGAUUCGAAAAGUGUGUAUGUAUUUAUUCUCCUAUUAUCUGGGACCAAUAUGUCGAGUAAACACUAGUCGGCUCGUAGUAGGAAGAUUAUGUCCGAUUACGUUUCUUUUUGUGAAAUAGAAAUUUUUAAUCCGUAUAAGCGUGUUAGUCUAGUACAAAGAAUGUAUGUUUCUUAAACAUCAAUUCAUCUGCCAAUUCAUCUGACAAUUUAUUUAAUAUAUGUUUAAUAGUAUUUGGACUUUUAUUGCAUUUAUUGUGCAUGCACACCAAAUUACACACAUAAUUAGCUAUCCACAGAUAGUUUAUAUUUCCAAUAUGUAUUUGAUCUUUCAAGGUUCUAUCGGGACGCUUCAAGUUUGUUAAUACUUUUACGCACAGCUUGAUUUUUACAUGUCUUUAAGUUGGAAACAUAGGAAAUAAUAAAAAAAAAAGCAAAAAAAAAAAAAAAAAAAAAAAAAGCAGAAUAAGAUAGAUUCGACGACUUAUAAUAUUUUCAAAACGUUAAAAUAUAUAAAUAUGUUAAACAGUAUAGAGUACAGUGCUUUUGUGGAAAACGACUGGAAAAGACAAGAUAUAAACAAUAACCAGAAUCUGAUUGCAACAUGAGAUGUCCAGGAGAACUGAGUAGGAUAUGUGGAAGUGCUAAUAGAAAUUCUGUGUAUUUAGGUAUGAACCAAAUUUAGACAUAUUCUAAAUAAGAUAGAAUUUGGAGUGGUACAAAAAUGAAAUAUUAACAUAAUGAGAAACAUACCUAAACAAUGAAUAAAGAAGCACAAAAAGUCUCAGAAAUUAUCAGUACUAAUAGCCACUUGUAAAGCUUUUUAUAGCAAAAACUUAAAACCUGUGAAAAACUUACUAGACUCUAUUUACAAUAUAUUAUCAAUAGAUGAACUCUUUAGACAGUAAAAAAACAAUAAUUAUAAAUAAAACAACCAUUAAACCCACCUCUGGGUGAUAGAUUAUUUUACUCCGUGUUGAAUGCGUGACCUUGGGCUGUUUUCUGCUCUUUGAUCGAGUUAUUGUCUUUUUGAUACAUUCCUUGUUCUAUUCUGAAUAUCAAGUACAAUGUACAGUUAACAUGUUAGCAUCAUCUAAGUAAAUUUUAAGAUUAAAACAUAUUUAUUUUUAACUGAUAGGCAUCAUAAAUCGGCGUAUUCAAAUCAUUGGAAUCUGAUUAAUCACACGGGACUAUAUCACUUCAGUAUUUAAGGGCAUUCUAAGCAAUGAUUGGAGUCAAACCUUUGAAAAAAAAUCUUACAUUGUGUACCUAAUAUUUAAUACUAAAUCCAAUUUUGUAUGUUAAAAUUCCAUGAUUUAUCAUGCUUACAUUGUUUAACAUUUAUAACCGUUACGUUAUUUUGAUACAUUUUCUAUAUUUCAGUUCAACAAUAGAGAAGCAAGAACGCAAAAGAUCAGACGUUAUAACCAACCGC
rnacentral:lncRNA from 1 species